CUGUGUGCAGCCACGGUGACUUGAGAGCCAGGGGGGCUCAUCCCUCAAUGCCAUCACCUCCAGGCUUGUUUCUUUCCACUCUGAUUGGCCAAACUCCUUCUUGGCAAAGCCAAGCACUUCUACCAGCAAAGAACUCAUUACUCCAAAGAAAAGGAAGGAAUAUAAACAUCUUGAAAGGUGAGCACAGCUGGGAUCUGUUCCUCUGGUGCCGGGCUGGACCUUUCCACUGGAGGCUGCGCCAAUGGAGCGGACGUCGUCUCCCUUUCAUCUAGGACUUUGCUGUUCUCUGGUUCCCUACAGUUACAGAAACCACAAGGCUGGGAGAGGGGAGGAAAAAAAGAAGAGAUUAAAUUAAU